AUCAUAGGUCAUUUAUUUCAUUUUCGUUUGUUUAUAUUCUUAAUAGUUUCUUUUCCCAUGCUUUUGUUUUAGAUGAGUUUGUGUAGUUUG
rnacentral:ribozyme from 1 species